AGCGUACACGGUGGAUGCCCUGGCAGUCAGAGGCGAUGAAGGACGUGCUAAUCUGCGAUAAGCGUCGGUAAGGUGAUAUGAACCGUUAUAACCGGCGAUUUCCGAAUGGGGAAACCCAGUGUGAUUCGUCACACUAUCAUUAACUGAAUCCAUAGGUUAAUGAGGCGAACCGGGGGAACUGAAACAUCUAAGUACCCCGAGGAAAAGAAAUCAACCGAGAUUCCCCCAGUAGCGGCGAGCGAACGGGGAGCAGCCCAGAGCCUGAAUCAGUGUGUGUGUUAGUGGAAGCGUCUGGAAAGGCGCGCGAUACAGGGUGACAGCCCCGUACACAAAAAUGCACAUACUGUGAGCUCGAUGAGUAGGGCGGGACACGUGGUAUCCUGUCUGAAUAUGGGGGGACCAUCCUCCAAGGCUAAAUACUCCUGACUGACCGAUAGUGAACCAGUACCGUGAGGGAAAGGCGAAAAGAACCCCGGCGAGGGGAGUGAAAAAGAACCUGAAACCGUGUACGUACAAGCAGUGGGAGCACGCUUAGGCGUGUGACUGCGUACCUUUUGUAUAAUGGGUCAGCGACUUAUAUUCUGUAGCAAGGUUAACCGAAUAGGGGAGCCGAAGGGAAACCGAGUCUUAACUGGGCGUUAAGUUGCAGGGUAUAGACCCGAAACCCGGUGAUCUAGCCAUGGGCAGGUUGAAGGUUGGGUAACACUAACUGGAGGACCGAACCGACUAAUGUUGAAAAAUUAGCGGAUGACUUGUGGCUGGGGGUGAAAGGCCAAUCAAACCGGGAGAUAGCUGGUUCUCCCCGAAAGCUAUUUAGGUAGCGCCUCGUGAAUUCAUCUCCGGGGGUAGAGCACUGUUUCGGCAAGGGGGUCAUCCCGACUUACCAACCCGAUGCAAACUGCGAAUACCGGAGAAUGUUAUCACGGGAGACACACGGCGGGUGCUAACGUCCGUCGUGAAGAGGGAAACAACCCAGACCGCCAGCUAAGGUCCCAAAGUCAUGGUUAAGUGGGAAACGAUGUGGGAAGGCCCAGACAGCCAGGAUGUUGGCUUAGAAGCAGCCAUCAUUUAAAGAAAGCGUAAUAGCUCACUGGUCGAGUCGGCCUGCGCGGAAGAUGUAACGGGGCUAAACCAUGCACCGAAGCUGCGGCAGCGACGCUUAUGCGUUGUUGGGUAGGGGAGCGUUCUGUAAGCCUGUGAAGGUGUGCUGUGAGGUAUGCUGGAGGUAUCAGAAGUGCGAAUGCUGACAUAAGUAACGAUAAAGCGGGUGAAAAGCCCGCUCGCCGGAAGACCAAGGGUUCCUGUCCAACGUUAAUCGGGGCAGGGUGAGUCGACCCCUAAGGCGAGGCCGAAAGGCGUAGUCGAUGGGAAACAGGUUAAUAUUCCUGUACUUGGUGUUACUGCGAAGGGGGGACGGAGAAGGCUAUGUUGGCCGGGCGACGGUUGUCCCGGUUUAAGCGUGUAGGCUGGUUUUCCAGGCAAAUCCGGAAAAUCAAGGCUGAGGCGUGAUGACGAGGCACUACGGUGCUGAAGCAACAAAUGCCCUGCUUCCAGGAAAAGCCUCUAAGCAUCAGGUAACAUCAAAUCGUACCCCAAACCGACACAGGUGGUCAGGUAGAGAAUACCAAGGCGCUUGAGAGAACUCGGGUGAAGGAACUAGGCAAAAUGGUGCCGUAACUUCGGGAGAAGGCACGCUGAUAUGUAGGUGAAGUCCCUCGCGGAUGGAGCUGAAAUCAGUCGAAGAUACCAGCUGGCUGCAACUGUUUAUUAAAAACACAGCACUGUGCAAACACGAAAGUGGACGUAUACGGUGUGACGCCUGCCCGGUGCCGGAAGGUUAAUUGAUGGGGUCAGCGCAAGCGAAGCUCUUGAUCGAAGCCCCGGUAAACGGCGGCCGUAACUAUAACGGUCCUAAGGUAGCGAAAUUCCUUGUCGGGUAAGUUCCGACCUGCACGAAUGGCGUAAUGAUGGCCAGGCUGUCUCCACCCGAGACUCAGUGAAAUUGAACUCGCUGUGAAGAUGCAGUGUACCCGCGGCAAGACGGAAAGACCCCGUGAACCUUUACUAUAGCUUGACACUGAACAUUGAGCCUUGAUGUGUAGGAUAGGUGGGAGGCUUUGAAGUGUGGACGCCAGUCUGCAUGGAGCCGACCUUGAAAUACCACCCUUUAAUGUUUGAUGUUCUAACGUUGACCCGUAAUCCGGGUUGCGGACAGUGUCUGGUGGGUAGUUUGACUGGGGCGGUCUCCUCCUAAAGAGUAACGGAGGAGCACGAAGGUUGGCUAAUCCUGGUCGGACAUCAGGAGGUUAGUGCAAUGGCAUAAGCCAGCUUGACUGCGAGCGUGACGGCGCGAGCAGGUGCGAAAGCAGGUCAUAGUGAUCCGGUGGUUCUGAAUGGAAGGGCCAUCGCUCAACGGAUAAAAGGUACUCCGGGGAUAACAGGCUGAUACCGCCCAAGAGUUCAUAUCGACGGCGGUGUUUGGCACCUCGAUGUCGGCUCAUCACAUCCUGGGGCUGAAGUAGGUCCCAAGGGUAUGGCUGUUCGCCAUUUAAAGUGGUACGCGAGCUGGGUUUAGAACGUCGUGAGACAGUUCGGUCCCUAUCUGCCGUGGGCGCUGGAGAACUGAGGGGGGCUGCUCCUAGUACGAGAGGACCGGAGUGGACGCAUCACUGGUGUUCGGGUUGUCAUGCCAAUGGCACUGCCCGGUAGCUAAAUGCGGAAGAGAUAAGUGCUGAAAGCAUCUAAGCACGAAACUUGCCCCGAGAUGAGUUCUCCCUGACUCCUUGA
rnacentral:rRNA from 1 species